rnacentral:rRNA from 1 species
GGGUUGUGAGGUUAAGCGACUAAGCGUACACGGUGGAUGCCCUGGCAGUCAGAGGCGAUGAAGGACGUGCUAAUCUGCGAAAAGCGUCGGUAAGGUGAUAUGAACCGUUAUAACCGGCGAUGUCCGAAUGGGGAAACCCAGUGCAAUUCGUUGCACUAUCGUUAACUGAAUACAUAGGUUAACGAGGCGAACCGGGGGAACUGAAACAUCUAAGUACCCCGAGGAAAAGAAAUCAACCGAGAUUCCCCCAGUAGCGGCGAGCGAACGGGGAGCAGCCCGGAGUCUGAAUCAGCUUGUGUGUUAGUGGAAGCGUCUGGAAAGUCGCAGGGUACAGGGUGAUACUCCCGUACACUAAAACACACAGGCUGUGAACUCGAAGAGUAGGGCGGGACACGUGGUAUCCUGUCUGAAUAUGGGGGGACCAUCCUCCAAGGCUAAAUACUCCUGACUGACCGAUAGUGAACCAGUACCGUGAGGGAAAGGCGAAAAGAACCCCGGCGAGGGGAGUGAAAAAGAACCUGAAACCGUGUACGUACAAGCAGUAGGAGCCCCACCACCAAAGCGUUUCGCUUUGCGUGGUGCGCAAAAUGCGUAACGACAGCAUGAUGAAGGGUUAACGGAGCGUCAGCGACGUUCAACCUCAAAAAUCAGGCAGUGGAGCGUUUUGGGGUGGGGUGACUGCGUACCUUUUGUAUAAUGGGUCAGCGACUUAUAUUCUGUAGCAAGGUUAACCGUAUAGGGGAGCCGCAGGGAAACCGAGUCUUAACUGGGCGUUAAGUUGCAGGGUAUAGACCCGAAACCCGGUGAUCUAGCCAUGGGCAGGUUGAAGGUUGGGUAACACUAACUGGAGGACCGAACCGACUAAUGUUGAAAAAUUAGCGGAUGACUUGUGGCUGGGGGUGAAAGGCCAAUCAAACCGGGAGAUAGCUGGUUCUCCCCGAAAGCUAUUUAGGUAGCGCCUCGUGAACUCAUCUUCGGGGGUAGAGCACUGUUUCGGCUAGGGGGUCAUCCCGACUUACCAACCCGAUGCAAACUACGAAUACCGAAGAAUGUUAUCACGGGAGACACACGGCGGGUGCUAACGUCCGUCGUGAAGAGGGAAACAACCCAGACCGCCAGCUAAGGUCCCAAAGUCAUGGUUAAGUGGGAAACGAUGUGGGAAGGCCCAGACAGCCAGGAUGUUGGCUUAGAAGCAGCCAUCAUUUAAAGAAAGCGUAAUAGCUCACUGGUCGAGUCGGCCUGCGCGGAAGAUGUAACGGGGCUAAACCAUGCACCGAAGCUGCGGCAGCGACACUAUGUGUUGUUGGGUAGGGGAGCGUUCUGUAAGCCGUUGAAGGUGGCCUGUGAGGGUUGCUGGAGGUAUCAGAAGUGCGAAUGCUGACAUAAGUAACGAUAAUGCGGGUGAAAAACCCGCACGCCGGAAGACCAAGGGUUCCUGUCCAACGUUAAUCGGGGCAGGGUGAGUCGACCCCUAAGGCGAGGCCGAAAGGCGUAGUCGAUGGGAAACAGGUUAAUAUUCCUGUACUUGGUGUUACUGCGAAGGGGGACGGAGAAGGCUAUGUUGGCCGGGCGACGGUUGUCCCGGUUUAAGCAUGUAGGCGGAUGUUCCAGGUAAAUCCGGAACGUCACUAACGCUGAGGUGUGAUGACGAGGCACUACGGUGCUGAAGUGACAAAUGCCCUGCUUCCAGGAAAAGCCUCUAAGCAUCAGGUAACAUCAAAUCGUACCCCAAACCGACACAGGUGGUCAGGUAGAGAAUACCAAGGCGCUUGAGAGAACUCGGGUGAAGGAACUAGGCAAAAUGGUGCCGUAACUUCGGGAGAAGGCACGCUGAUGGUAGGUGAAGUGACUUGCUCAUGGAGCUGAAAUCAGUCGAAGAUACCAGCUGGCUGCAACUGUUUAUUAAAAACACAGCACUGUGCAAACACGAAAGUGGACGUAUACGGUGUGACGCCUGCCCGGUGCCGGAAGGUUAAUUGAUGGGGUUAUCCUCACGGAGAAGCUCUUGAUCGAAGCCCCGGUAAACGGCGGCCGUAACUAUAACGGUCCUAAGGUAGCGAAAUUCCUUGUCGGGUAAGUUCCGACCUGCACGAAUGGCGUAAUGAUGGCCAGGCUGUCUCCACCCGAGACUCAGUGAAAUUGAACUCGCUGUGAAGAUGCAGUGUACCCGCGGCAAGACGGAAAGACCCCGUGAACCUUUACUAUAGCUUGACACUGAACACUGGUCCUUGAUGUGUAGGAUAGGUGGGAGGCUUUGAAGUGUGGACGCCAGUCUGCAUGGAGCCGUCCUUGAAAUACCACCCUUUAAUGGCUGGUGUUCUAACGUGGGCCCGUGAUCCGGGUUGCGGACAGUGUCUGGUGGGUAGUUUGACUGGGGCGGUCUCCUCCUAAAGAGUAACGGAGGAGCACGAAGGUCAGCUAAUCCUGGUCGGACAUCAGGAGGUUAGUGCAAUGGCAUAAGCUGGCUUGACUGCGAGCGUGACGGCGCGAGCAGGUGCGAAAGCAGGUCAUAGUGAUCCGGUGGUUCUGAAUGGAAGGGCCAUCGCUCAACGGAUAAAAGGUACUCCGGGGAUAACAGGCUGAUACCGCCCAAGAGUUCAUAUCGACGGCGGUGUUUGGCACCUCGAUGUCGGCUCAUCACAUCCUGGGGCUGAAGUAGGUCCCAAGGGUAUGGCUGUUCGCCAUUUAAAGUGGUACGCGAGCUGGGUUUAGAACGUCGUGAGACAGUUCGGUCCCUAUCUGCCGUGGGCGCUGGAGAAUUGAGGGGGCUGCUCCUAGUACGAGAGGACCGGAGUGGACGCAUCACUGGUGUUCGGGUUGUCAUGCCAAUGGCAUUGCCCGGUAGCUAAAUGCGGAAGAGAUAAGUGCUGAAAGCAUCUAAGCACGAAACUUGCCCCGAGAUGAGUUCUCCCUGACUCCUUGAGAGUCCUGAAGGAACGUUGAAGACGACGACGUUGAUAGGCCGGGUGUGUAAGCGCAGCGAUGCGUUGAGCUAACCGGUACUAAUGAACCGUGAGGCUUAACCUUACAACGCCGAAG